GCACCUGUCCCAGGAAGCCAGGCUCUUGGAACCCGGGGCUGGAUCUCUUCCUCAGAGUUGCCUGGUGCAGUGAUCCAGAGCGCGCUCAACCCAGGAAGAGGCAGCGGUGGUAGAACCAUGUGUUCUGCAAUCGCCUGGAAUGGACGGUAGAGAGAUGGAUUUUUAUGAGGACUACGAGUCCCCAUUUGAUUUUAAUACAGGAGUAAACAAAAACUAUCUCUACCUGUCUCCCAGUGGAAAUACGUCCCCACCAGGAUCACCUACUCUUCAGAAGUUUGGUCUGCUGAGAACAGACCCAGUACCUGAGGAAGGAGAAGAUGUUGCUGCCACAAUUGGUGCCACCGAGACUCUGUCAGAGGACGAGCGAGAGGAGCUGAGAAGAGAGCUUGCAAAGGUAGAAGAAGAAAUCCAGACUCUGUCUCAAGUGUUAGCAGCAAAAGAGAAGCACCUAGCGGAGAUCAAGCGGAAACUUGGGAUCAAUUCACUACAGGAACUAAAACAGAACAUUGCCAAAGGGUGGCAAGAUGUGACAGCUACAUCUGCGUAUAAGAAGACCUCUGAAACCUUAUCUCAGGCCGGACAGAAGGCUUCAGCUGCUUUUUCGUCUGUUGGCUCUGUCAUCACCAAAAAGCUGGAAGAUGUAAAAUUGCAAGCCUUUUCACAUUCCUUUAGAAACUCCCCAACUUUCAAAUCAUUUGAAGAAAAGGUCGAAAACUUAAAGUCUAAAGUCGGGGGAAACAAGCCUGCUGGUGGUGAUUUCGGAGAAGUCUUGAAUUCAACUGCAAGCGCUAGUGCCACCACCACGGAGCCUCUUCCAGAGCAGACACAGGAGAGCCUGUGAGCCCCCCACCUUUGUUCUGCUACUCACUGCCAGAUGCUGCAAGCGAGAUCCAAGCACAUCUUGUCAACAUUCAUUGCCAUGAACUUCCACCAGAUGUGCUUUUGUUGAGCUUUACAUAUUCCUUUGACCAA
rnacentral:lncRNA from 1 species